UUGAAAGCCUAGAGGAAGGGCCGUGGAGCCACACCAGCGACAGCACGCCGGCUGACUUGGUGCCUGCAGGGCAGCCAGGAUUGUCCUGGCCCCGGGCGCUCUUCUGGAAGCUUUCCAUUUCCCUGCCUGAGGUACCCCUCCUGUCCCGGCCCCCACUGCUUUUUCCCUUUCUCACCUCUGCCCAGGGAGAAAUUCCAGCGGCAGGUAUGGGUGACACAUCCUCUUCUUUAGCAGGUGGCAGCCUGGCAACUCCUGUAGAAAGUCCAGGAGAGCCCCACUCACACCGGGCCACCCACAGAGCCGUAGCCCCUCACUCCCACCUACCAGCCCAGCCCUGACACUGCUGACGGGGCAGAGAAUAUGGCGUCAGCCACAGCUGCAGGUGGUGAGUGUGAUCCAGGAAAGCUGCCCUGGUGACGUGAGGCUGAACCUGCUUCAGAGUGACAAGCCUUCCGGAUGAUCCCAAAACAAGAUAGUGAGACGGAUCCUGUUAGAAGAAGGACGCUCAGGCUGACCCCCUCCCCACGCCCCCCAGGCCCCGCGAGCCAGGCCGAGGGCAGGGGCGAGAGGUGGGACUGAAGUUCCCCGGACCAGACGCUGGGGGCCGCUCUUUCUACACAGCAGCGGCGGGUGGCAGCGAACCCCUGCCCCUCGGAAGCUGGUCUUGCGCUGCCGCCCAAGCACCGGACCA